GCCGCUGUAGCUCAGCCUGGUUAGAGCGCUAGACUCAUAAUCUAGAGGUCGCGGGCUCAAAUAUCCCAGAGGAUGCCAAAAUCCUCAGGUUGAGUGUCCCGUCAGCGGCA
rnacentral:tRNA from 1 species